rnacentral:tRNA from 1 species
GUUUUAAUAGUUUAAAAAAAACGCCGGUCUUGUAAACCGGAAAUAAGUUCAGCCCCCGCUUUUAAAACU